rnacentral:rRNA from 1 species
UACGGAGGGUGCAAGCGUUAUCCGGAUUCACUGGGUUUAAAGGGUGCGUAGGCGGGCAGGUAAGUCCGUGGUGAAAUCUCUGAGCUUAACUCAGAAACUGCCAUGGAUACUAUUUGUCUUGAAUAUUGUGGAGGUAAGCGGAAUAUGUCAUGUAGCGGUGAAAUGCUUAGAUAUGACAUAGAACACCAAUUGCGAAGGCAGCUUAUUACAGGGACAUUGACACUGAGGCACGAAAGCGUGGGGAUCAAACAGG